rnacentral:rRNA from 1 species
AGCGAACGCUGGCGGCAGGCCUAACACAUGCAAGUCGAGCGCCCCGCAAGGGGAGCGGCAGACGGGAGAGUAACACGUGGGAACGUACCCUUCAGUACGGAACAACCAAGGGAAACUUUGGCUAAUACCGUAUACGUCCGUACGGAGAAAGAUUUAUCGCUGAAGGAUCGGCCCGCGUCUGAUUAGCUAGUUGGUGAGGUACCGGCUCACCAAGGCUACGAUCAGUAGCUGGUCUGAGAGGAUGAUCAGCCUCACUGGGACUGAGACACGGCCCAGACUCCUACGGGAGGCAGCAGUGGGGAAUAUUGGACAAUGGGCGCAAGCCUGAUCCAGCCAUGCCGCGUGGGUGAUGAAGGCCCUAGGGUUGUAAAGCCCUUUCGGCGGGGAAGAUAAUGACGGUACCCGCAGAAGAAGCCCCGGCUAACUUCGUGCCAGCCGCCGCCGUAAAAC